AACAACGUAAUAUAGCUUAGACAAAGCAUCUCGCUUACACCGAGAAUACACCCGUGAAAACCCGGUUAUUUCGAG
rnacentral:tRNA from 1 species